ACUUUUCAAAAAACUUGUUUUUAUCAAGCCAUCUUCUUAUCUAAAAUCUGAUUUCAUAUUUUUUCCAUUGUUGUGUGGGUGCAAGCUUUCCAUUAACUCUUAGGCAUUUUUUGACGUUUCUAGGCAUUUUUGGCCUAUUUCCGUAUCACCGGCCACCAGAUUCCGGCAACCGGAGAGGUGGACAACAAGGGAUAGAGCUGGACAGACCUAUAGCAUGCUUGUCUCGGCAGUUUGUUGCCGAGAAGGCUUCGGUAGAAAAUUACCGAAGUGACUCGGCAGUUUCUGCCCAAAUGAGGACGGGGAGGCAGAGCCUCCUGACUAGAGGCUCAAACCAUCAUCCUCGGGGGCCCAAGGACCAAAGGCCCUGAGUGGUUGUGACGAUUAGACAAAACGUUUUGGCGAUUAAACGUUUAGUUUUUGACGUAUUCGUAUGUUUUAAAAAGUCAAUAUUUUUAGAAAUAUGUCCUACUGGUUUAUAUAUGAUAUAUUGAUGGUUUAUAUGGAUUUUGGAAUUAUAAUUGAUUAUAAUUCUAUGUUUAUUUAUUUAUUUAAAUAAACUAUGACAGAUAGGAUUUAUCGUAAGAGUUACGAUUACUCGGAAAGAGAUAGUUGGAAUCAAAUUUGGAUAUUUGAUUAUUUGAUUUCUUUUGCUUAGUCGGUCUAAAGUGUAUCUUAAAAAUUAGAAGUUUUUUUGAUGAAAUUAAAAAUUAGAAGUUAAUUCAUUUAUUAAUGUUUAAUUUCUAAAUUAGAUCAAGCGAAUUUUGUCGCGGGUACUAACGAGCAACGGCUUUGAUUUUCAAAACGGACAAUAUCUUAUUUGUGGAAUAAGCGAGUACUAUGAGUGUUUGCAAUUUAUACUGAUGAAAAUUAGUAUUAAAAAUAUUUGCAAACUGCUUUACAUGAUUUAUAAAUGAUUUAUUUAAUUUGAAAUUUAAAUUGCAUUAAGAUGCACACAUAGUUUUGGAACCGAUUUGAAUUUAUUAAAACAUACUUACUAUUGGGCGGCAAUAGUGCUGUUGAUCACCAGUAUAGCAUUCAUGUGAUGAGUUAUCGAGUCCGGGCGACGACCAGGAAAGUCUGAGGUGACGGCCUAAACUCAUGGGAAGGAUUUCUAUGGAAAAAGCCUAGAAUGUCCUUACAGAUCUCGAGGCGACAGUAUUAAUUUAUGUCCAAAGGCGACUAUAUAAAUUUUACGGAUGUUGUCUAAGUUUACAAUAUAUUCUCCUAAUUACACAUAAGUUUGUUAUGUGUCUUACGACAUUUAAGUGUUUGACACAUAAUCCUUAAAUGUCGAUUAAUAGUCUAAGUGUGUGACACUUAGCUAAGAUAUGUGUCUUAAAGAGAUAAAGUGAAUUGUCUCAACACAUUCCACUAAUUCAAUGCUAUAUAAGAGAAGGUUAUUGCAUUUGUACAACAAUUGAAUGCUUAUGCUAAGUUUGUGUUGUUAACAAGUUACUACACACACUCUUCUCCUUUAUUUCAAAUUGCUAUUUCUUUAGAGAAAGAAAUGAGGAAAAGAUAAAGAAAUGAAAGCUAUAAGCAUAUUUGAAGGCGUUUAAGUGAUAACUUUAGAGAACGCUAGAAGUUUAUUCGAAAGAGUUCAAUGAUUUUGUACAAUCUUACAUGUUCUUCAAACACAUAAAUCAAAAAACUUAGUGAAAUUUUCAAACAUUCUAACAAGGAGUGAUCAAUUAAAAGUUGAGGGUUGGGUCUCUUGUCUCGAGGAACUCGAGCCGAUCACUUUAAGGCAAGUAUUCAAUCACAAGCAUACUCAUGUAGACGAGUUAGAUGUCACUGCACUUUCGAGACUUUAAAAAUCUUUGGAGAACCGAUUAAGGUAUUCUUCGUUGCUUUCUUUAUGCAUGCUACUAACACUUAAUGAUACAUGAUACACCGUGUUGGUAUUGAUUUAAUCAAUUUGUAGAUUGUAUAUUUUUGAAUUUGAAUUGAAAUAUUUUCCGACCUUCGCUUUCCGCCGCGCCAACAUUAUAUUCAUUAAUUUUAGAUUCACUCGAAGAAUUCUCCUUAGUAGUAAACAUAUGAGUUCUGGAAAAUAUUAGGUUUAACUACUAAUGAAUGCUGUAAAUUAUGAACAAAAACAAUAAUAAAGAAACAAUAAAGUUAAAUAGCAAAGAGAAACGAUAAUAAUAAAAGAAUGGAGAAUAUGGAGAACGUGCAGAAAUGGUUGAUAAAAAAAUGCAGUCGGACAAUGGAAGAAAAAAAGAUGAAGAACAAGUAUUUGAGAAAGGCCUAAUCACUCAAAAACCCCUCACCUUUAAACUUUUUUUCAAUUCCACCCCGACGUUGAAAAUUUGUCAAUUUUACCCACUUUUAAAUUUUCCGUUUUCAAUUGUACCCCAAUAUUUUAAUUUUUGUUAAUUUUUUUACUUAAAUGAUGAAAUCAUUCAAUUAAUUAAGUCUAAACAUGAAAUUAAAUUCUUUUUUAUUCAAAAAAGUACAAAUAAGUCCUUUAUUUUUAAAAACUAACUAAAAACCAUAAUCAAAUUAACACUAAUUUAAAUUCUUAAUUAAUUUAACUAAAUUUAAAUAAAUUUUAAAAAUAUACAAUUAAUAUAUGCGAGACAUGGACAAUGUUUUAAACAAAUUUCUAAACGCAAAAGAAGUUAUUUUAAUUUUUUAGGGUACAAUUGAAACACAAAAAUGCAAAAUAGGGUAAAAUUGAUAAAUUUUCAAUGUCAGGGUAUGAUUGAAAAGGGGCUAAAAGAUCGGGUUUUUUUUAAAAUAUUAGGCCUUUGAGAAAAGAAAGAGUUUGAAAUUGACAACUUCUCUACUAAAAUCAAACCUUAACAUUUUGAAAAAGUUAGAAGUGUAGAAUAAAAAAUUUCGCAUUUGAUAUGAAAAUAAAGCAUAAAAAUUAUUGUAAUAUGUCCAGAAUUAUAAUUUUAAAUUGUAUUAAGAUUUUAUUAAUGGAGUAUUUGAGAGAAGGAUAAUUUUGUUAUUAUUGGCUAAUGGCCAAACUUAUUUAGAAGUCCAUGUAUUUUACACUCGUAGGUCCUUAUACUUCAUUUUUGUAUUAUCUGGUCCCUCUAUUUAUCUAUUUUUUAUUUUCAGGUUCUUUUCGAGUUUUUUUCUGUCCUUUUGUGUGACUGUAGGGAAAAAAUAUUGUAAGUAGAGGGACUGGAGGAAACUCAAAAAGGACCUGAAAAUCGAAAAUAAGUAAGUAGAAGGACCAGAUAAUACAAAAAUGAAGUAUAUAGACCUACGGAAAAAAAGUGUAAAGUACAGGUACCUCUAGAUGGGUUAAGUCUUGGCUAAUUAGGAAGUAUAAAUCUAAUUAGAAUUAAUACUCCUAAUGUUAUUUAGAUUAUUUACUCCCUAUAAAUACACUACCUUAUUCAUCUUUUAGAUUGCACUAAAAACCGAACACACAAUAUAUAUAUAUAUAUUAAUGUGAAUAAGGGAAAAAGGGGGUGCGUGUGAUGUGAGGAAUAAAAGUUAAUUCUAACCCUUUCAGGUUACUUCUUGUAGUGAGUUAAUCACUUUGUGGGUUUUUCUUUUAAGGGAAUAUUUAUUAGAGGUGUUCUCUAUUUGGUGAUUUUUCACCAAUUUUGUACUCGUUUUGAUGAUUAGUGGAUGACUCGCUUUUUUCGCCCGUGUAUGUACGCUUUAACGCCGAACCACAUAAAUAUUUUGUGUUAUUUAUUAUUUUUCUAUAUUAUUAUUUGUUGAUAGAAUUCAGAAUUAAAUACCUACCGAAUCUGCACAUACCAGUCCGGUUAUAAACCGAUCAAGACAAUACUAAAGAUUCAACAACCAGUAUUAAUGUUACAACAGAGGAUAAAACGUACAUAUACGAGCUUCAACAAUUCAGAAACCAUAUACUACAAUAAUUUCAUUUAUUCAAUACAAAAUCGGACGAAAAUUAAAAUUAGCGGCAUUUAACUGACUGCUUUUUUGACUGAUUCGAUACAUUGAACAGCUUCAUCAAGCGAAUUCAUAGCCUUUUCAAUAUAUAUGUCUUUUCCCCUACUGAUAAAUCUUUCAGCGGAUUGCAGAGAUUGAAUGGCCGCUUUAAUAUAGAAGCUAGAAACUCCAGCAACGGGAGGGAGUGAAUUGGCAGUGAUUUCUUUCUUCACAUCCUCCUCCGCGGAAUGCGGUGGCUUUUCGGGAUCUUUGUCGAACAACUUAGCUUGCUCAAUGUAUUUUUCCAUACGUGGAGUGGCAAAGAGUUUCACAUUAUCAAUAUCAUCACCUCUUGUAGCGAAACGUUGGCGAUCAUGGGAUGUCUCGGAGGAAAGUGCGAAAGAACGCCCUUGUUCUUGGUAGAUUAUUUCCUUUUCCAUUAAUCCAAUCAACUGCUGGAUUUCUGAUUGUAGCAUCUGAAUUAUUGGAUCAGACUUGUCAGCCUCCUUCAAUUUAUUUUGGGCGUAGAUUAGCUUGUUCUUGGCCAUGGUUGUCUUAGUUUCGCCCCCAUCAUCAGCGAGUAUUCUCGCAUUUUUCAUCUCUUGUGCAGUCGAUAUACGAGUUACCUCGGCCAGCAAUUUGGAACUCAUUUGCUGUUCUUGAUUGGUACCUGCACGCUUCGCAAAAAGGAUCGAGGGAGGUGGUGGAAUAGGUCUCUGUCCCUUAAAGCUGCACAUUCAUACAUACGAGCAAAAAAACGAUGAUAUACUUAAAGAUUGUUAUUAAUUCCUAGCUUUUAUCUAAACCAAAAAUUGUGUUGUAUUUAACUUAAGAAUUAAGUUGUGCCAAAUUUUUUAAUUUAUAUUUCAAUUUGGAAUCAAACCUUGAAUUCUGAUGCA